rnacentral:misc_RNA from 1 species
AACUUUUAGCAACGGAUCACUUGGCUCUCGCAUCGAUGAAGAACGCAGCGAGAUGCGAUAAGUAAUGUGAAUUGCAGAAUUCAGUGAAUCAUCGAAUCUUUGAACGCACCUUGCGCUCUUUGGUAUUCCGAAGAGCAUGCCUGUUUGAGUGUCAUGAGAAUAUCAAUCUUGACUUGGGUUUAGUGCUCUUGUCUUGGCUUGGAUUGGGCUGUUUGCCGCUCGAAAGAGUCGGCUCAGCUUUAAAGUAUUAGCUGGAUCUGGCUUUGAGACUUGGUUUGACUUGGCGUAAUAAGUUAUUUCGCUGAGGACAAUCUUCGGAUGGGCCGAGUUUCUGGGACGUUUGUCCGCUUUCUAAUACAAGUUCUAGCUUGCUAGACAUGACUUUUUUAUUAUCUGGCCUCAAAUCAGGUAGGACUACCCGCUGAACUUAAGCAUAUCAAUAAGCGGCGGCU